rnacentral:rRNA from 1 species
UACGUAGGUGGCAAGCGUUGUCCGGAAUUAUUGGGCGUAAAGCGCACGUAGGCGGCUUUUCAAGUCCCAUGUGAAAGCCCACGGCUUAACCGUGGAAGUGCAUGGGAAACUGGAGAGCUUGAGUACUUAAGAGGAUCGCGGAAUUCCCGGUGUAGAGGUGAAAUUCGUAGAUAUCGGGAGGAACACCAGUGGCGAAGGCGGCGAUCUGGGAAGAUACUGACGCUGAGGUGCGAAAGCGUGGGGAGCAAACAGG